AGGGUCGUUGUAGACUACGACGUAGAUAGGCUACAGGUGUAAGGGCAGUAAUGUCGAAGCCGAGUAGUACUAAUAGCCCGAGACUUUCUAUU
rnacentral:rRNA from 1 species